UUUCUUAUUUCCUUUCCUUUCCCUUACCUUAUCUCCUCAACUCUUCUAGUGGGCUCAGUUUGAGCUCAAUGAGGCGUUUCCCACAAGAUGAGAUGGUGAGAUGCAGUCCGCCGUCUAGGGCCAUCGCCGUCGCUAGCGACAAGUAGGGGUCUGUUCCCAUGCCUAUGCUCCCCUCAAUUCGUGCUCGGAAAUGAUUCACACAAGAUGAGAUGCGGUGUGCCGUUCGAGGUCGUCGCCGUCGCCGGAGGCAAGGCGAUAGCUAUUGCGGGUAGCACCGCUUGCGUCCGGCGCGCCUAUGCCCGAGCCUAAGCUAUGGCAGCUGCUCCAUGCCGCUGUUCCCCGCCAAACAACAUCGUGUGCGCCGGGGGGGGGGGGGGGGGGGGGGGGGGUCAGCUGGUACCUCGAGACACAGCAGGAGCUCGUGCAGACUCGCUUGAAGUUUGGAGCUCGAUGCAAGCUCACAGGCAGAGGAGGGUCUAAAAUUUGUAGAUUCAAGGCGCAACAACUUACCUAUGCAUGAUGAAGUGCCAGAAGCUGCUUCCAUGCUCGAGAACACAGUUGAUGCAUGCUGAUCCACAGAGAGAGCAAUUUUCUAUCAAUCCUGAUCUAUUCUCAUGUGAUCUAGGGGGCAACAUUGACAAUGUAGUAGAUGGGAAGGAGAAAGGAUGUAGCCGGAAAGAUAUUUUGGCGAUUAUCUGUUGUUACACAAGAGAAAAAAAGUUUGUUUUGCUGAUUAUCUAGAACAAAUUAGAGAGAUUUGAAUGGUGUUUCCCAAAAGUCGGAAUUGAACAUCCCACGGGAAUCCCUUCAAUAAUUUCCUUCAGUUAGAGAUUUCAUUGUUCCUCCUUCCUCCUUUGAUUUAGAAGAUGAUCAGGAUUUCCUUCAUAAUUUCCUAACGUAUUUCUCUGCCAGAGUCACUUAAAUUCUUUCCCUUCUUGGUUAAUUUCCUUCCUUAUUUCUCUGCCAGAAUCACUCAAUUCCUUCCCUUACUUGGUUAAUUUUCUUCCUUAUUUCUCUG